rnacentral:rRNA from 1 species
AGAGUGUUGCUCUGGCUCAGGACGACGCUGGCGGCGUGCUUAACACAUGCAAGUCGAACGGAAAGGCCUGCUUUUGUGGGUGCUCGAGUGGCGAACGGGUGAGUAACACGUGAGUAACCUGCCCUUGACUUUGGGAUAACUUCAGGAAACUGGGGCUAAUACCGGAUAGGAGCUCCUGCUGCAUGGUGGGGGUUGGAAAGUUUCGGCGGUUGGGGAUGGACUCGCGGCUUAUCAGCUUGUUGGUGGGGUAGUGGCUUACCAAGGCUUUGACGGGUAGCCGGCCUGAGAGGGUGACCGGCCACAUUGGGACUGAGAUACGGCCCAGACUCCUACGGGAGGCAGCAGUGGGGAAUAUUGCACAAUGGGCGGAAGCCUGAUGCAGCAACGCCGCGUGCGGGAUGACGGCCUUCGGGUUGUAAACCGCUUUCGCCUGUGACGAAGCGUGAGUGACGGUAAUGGGUAAAGAAGCAUCGGCUAACUACGUG